GGGUUGUGAGGUUAAGCGACUAAGCGUACACGGUGGAUGCCCUGGCAGUCAGAGGCGAUGAAGGACGUGCUAAUCUGCGAUAAGCGUCGGUGAGGUGAUAUGAACCGUUAUAACCGGCGAUUUCCGAAUGGGGAAACCCAGUGUGUUUCGACACACUAUCAUUAACUGAAUCCAUAGGUUAAUGAGGCGAACCGGGGGAACUGAAACAUCUAAGUACCCCGAGGAAAAGAAAUCAACCGAGAUUCCCCCAGUAGCGGCGAGCGAACGGGGAGGAGCCCAGAGCCUGAAUCAGUGUGUGUGUUAGUGGAAGCGUCUGGAAAGGCGUGCGAUACAGGGUGACAGCCCCGUACACAAAAAUGCACAUAUUGUGAGCUCGAUGAGUAGGGCGGGACACGUGGUAUCCUGUCUGAAUAUGGGGGGACCAUCCUCCAAGGCUAAAUACUCCUGACUGACCGAUAGUGAACCAGUACCGUGAGGGAAAGGCGAAAAGAACCCCGGCGAGGGGAGUGAAAAAGAACCUGAAACCGUGUACGUACAAGCAGUGGGAGCCUCUUAAUGGGGUGACUGCGUACCUUUUGUAUAAUGGGUCAGCGACUUAUAUUCUGUAGCAAGGUUAACCGAAUAGGGGAGCCGAAGGGAAACCGAGUCUUAACUGGGCGUUAAGUUGCAGGGUAUAGACCCGAAACCCGGUGAUCUAGCCAUGGGCAGGUUGAAGGUUGGGUAACACUAACUGGAGGACCGAACCGACUAAUGUUGAAAAAUUAGCGGAUGACUUGUGGCUGGGGGUGAAAGGCCAAUCAAACCGGGAGAUAGCUGGUUCUCCCCGAAAGCUAUUUAGGUAGCGCCUCGUGAAUUCAUCUCCGGGGGUAGAGCACUGUUUCGGCAAGGGGGUCAUCCCGACUUACCAACCCGAUGCAAACUGCGAAUACCGGAGAAUGUUAUCACGGGAGACACACGGCGGGUGCUAACGUCCGUCGUGAAGAGGGAAACAACCCAGACCGCCAGCUAAGGUCCCAAAGUCAUGGUUAAGUGGGAAACGAUGUGGGAAGGCCCAGACAGCCAGGAUGUUGGCUUAGAAGCAGCCAUCAUUUAAAGAAAGCGUAAUAGCUCACUGGUCGAGUCGGCCUGCGCGGAAGAUGUAACGGGGCUAAACCAUGCACCGAAGCUGCGGCAGCGACACUAUGUGUUGUUGGGUAGGGGAGCGUUCUGUAAGCCUGUGAAGGUGGCCUGUGAGGGUUGCUGGAGGUAUCAGAAGUGCGAAUGCUGACAUAAGUAACGAUAAAGCGGGUGAAAAGCCCGCUCGCCGGAAGACCAAGGGUUCCUGUCCAACGUUAAUCGGGGCAGGGUGAGUCGACCCCUAAGGCGAGGCCGAAAGGCGUAGUCGAUGGGAAACAGGUUAAUAUUCCUGUACUUGGUGUUACUGCGAAGGGGGGACGGAGAAGGCUAUGUUGGCCGGGCGACGGUUGUCCCGGUUUAAGCGUGUAGGCUGGUUUUCCAGGCAAAUCCGGAAAACCAAGGCUGAGGCGUGAUGACGAGGCACUACGGUGCUGAAG
rnacentral:rRNA from 1 species